UAAACGACUCUCGGCAACGGAUAUCUCGGCUCUCGCAUCGAUGAAGAACGUAGCGAAAUGCGAUACUUGGUGUGAAUUGCAGAAUCCCGUGAACCAUCGAGUCUUUGAACGCAAGUUGCGCCCGAAGCCUUCAGGCCGAGGGCACGUCUGCCUGGGCGUCACGCA
rnacentral:rRNA from 1 species